rnacentral:rRNA from 1 species
CAGUCGCCGCGGUAAUACGGAGGGGGCUAGCGUUGUUCGGAAUUACUGGGCGUAAAGCGCACGUAGGCGGCUUGGUAAGUUAGAGGUGAAAGCCCGGAGCUCAACUCCGGAAUUGCCUUUAAGACUGCCGAGCUAGUAGGUGAGAGAGGUAAGUGGAAUUCCGAGUGUAGAGGUGAAAUACGUAGAUAUUCGGAAGAACACCAGUGGCGAAGGCGGCUUACUGGCUCAUUCUAGACGCUGAGGUGCGAAAGCGUGGGGAGCAAACAGGAUUAGAUACCCCGGUAGUCCCUGUCUCUUAUAC